AUUGAACGCUGGCGGCAUGCCUUACACAUGCAAGUCGAACGGUAACAGGUUAAGCUGACGAGUGGCGAACGGGUGAGUAAUGUAUCGGAACGUGCCCAGUCGUGGGGGAUAACUGCUCGAAAGAGCAGCUAAUACCGCAUACGACCUGAGGGUGAAAGCGGGGGAUCGCAAGACCUCGCGCGAUUGGAGCGGCCAAUAUCAGAUUAGGUAGUUGGUGAGGUAAAGGCUCACCAAGCCGACGAUCUGUAGCUGGUCUGAGAGGACGACCAGCCACACUGGGACUGAGACACGGCCCAGACUCCUACGGGAGGCAGCAGUGGGGAAUUUUGGACAAUGGGCGCAAGCCUGAUCCAGCCAUGCCGCGUGCGGGAAGAAGGCCUUCGGGUUGUAAACCGCUUUUGUCAGGGAAGAAAAGGUUCUGGCUAAUACCUGGGACUCAUGACGGUACCUGAAGAAUAAGCACCGGCUAACUACGUG
rnacentral:rRNA from 1 species